CGAACGGGUGAGUAACGCGUGAGGAACCUGCCUCAAAGAGGGGGACAACAGUUGGAAACGACUGCUAAUACCGCAUAAGCCCACGGCUCGGCAUCGAGCAGAGGGAAAAGGAGUAAUCCGCUUUGAGAUGGCCUCGCGUCCGAUUAGCUAGUUGGUGAGGUAAUGGCCCACCAAGGCAACGAUCGGUAGCCGGACUGAGAGGUUGAACGGCCACAUUGGGACUGAGACACGGCCCAG
rnacentral:rRNA from 1 species